UUUAUAGCAAUUGGAUCAGGUGUUGCAGGGACUCUGCGCGGUCUCUGCAUACUUAAUAGAAAAUCCGGUGAAAGGAUCAUGAACAGCAAUGGGAUGCUGUGAUGCCUGCGAAGCCGGAGCGGUCCCGCCACUGUAACAGUGAGCAAGUCUGCACGAGAAUGCCGCGUGCAUUUUCGAGAAUGUCACUGAGGUUAUCCUUGGGAAGGCGCAGACGUGCGAUGAACUGGAGCCAGGAGAACUGCCUGAUUGACAAUCGCCGU
rnacentral:ncRNA from 2 species